rnacentral:lncRNA from 1 species
AUUGGAGCUUCGUAUUCAAUAGUGGACUUGUGCAUUACUCUAAACCACCUCCUCUUUGCUCAACUCACUGAAAAGGGGAAAGAACAAGAAUACAUGAAUUUCUAUUGAGAUGAAAGUUCAAGCAAAACAUGAACUAAAAAUCUACACGUAAGAUGAAGAGUGAGAUAGUUUUUCAGAAGAAUACAUGAAUUGCAAUUUAUGUGCUAAUUACUUUCUAGAGCAAAUUAUUAAUCUUAUUUAUAAUAACUUUUUGUAGUUGCAAACAUAUUAGUAACUGUUUUGAAAUUUCAUUUCAAUGUUUUAGCGCAGAUAUAAAGAUUUAUGUAGCUGCAACGUACAUAUCACCGUUCAUCCCUAAGUGAAGAUGCUUCCUCUGUUUCAUAGUGGCAAUAGUCUCUUCACACUGCUCAACAAGAUUUCUAACAAAGGAAAAGAAUUAACAGAAAAGCAAAGAGAAGUAACGAAAAAUAAAAAGCUACUUGAAAAGAAAAAAAGAAAAAGAAUAACUUACAUCUGUUAGAACACCUUCGUUUUAAUCAUCACAGGUAUUCCCGAUCGAUAUGUAUGGUGGGAAUAUGAGCAAUAUUUGGCCAGUAAUCCCCCUUCUCAAAUUCUAGGAGUGGGUUGAGCAAUGGGCAC